rnacentral:rRNA from 1 species
GACGAACCUUGCUAACGUUAUUCGGAAUUACUGGGCUUAAAGCGCGUGUAGGCGGCUUUGCAAGUCGGGUGUGAAAGCCCUCAGCUCAACUGAGGAAGUGCGCCCGAAACUGCAGAGCUUGAGUGCCGGAGAGGGUGGCGGAAUUCCCCAAGUAGAGGUGAAAUUCGUAGAUAUGGGGAGGAACACCGGUGGCGAAGGCGGCGGCCUGGGUUGACACUGACGCUGAGGCGCGAAAGCGUGGGGAGCAAACAGG